rnacentral:rRNA from 1 species
UACGUAGGGAGUAAGCGUUGUCCGGAAUCAUUGGGCGUAAAGCGCGCGUAGGUGGCCUCAUAAGUCCGCUGUGAAAGUCAAAGGCUCAACCUUUGAAAGCCGGUGGAUACUGUGGGGCUAGAGUACGGAAGAGGCGAGUGGAAUUCCCGGUGUAGUGGUGAAAUGCGUAGAUAUCGGGAGGAACACCAGUGGCGAAGGCGACUACCUGGCCUGUUCUUGACGCUGAGGCGCGAAAGCUAGGGGAGCAAACGGG